GACGAACGCUGGCGGCGUGCUUAACACAUGCAAGUCGAACGGAAAGGCCCUGCUUUUGUGGGGUGCUCGAGUGGCGAACGGGUGAGUAACACGUGAGUAACCUGCCCUUGACUUUGGGAUAACUUCAGGAAACUGGGGCUAAUACCGGAUAGGAGCUCCUGCUGCAUGGUGGGGGUUGGAAAGUUUCGGCGGUUGGGGAUGGACUCGCGGCUUAUCAGCUUGUUGGUGGGGUAGUGGCUUACCAAGGCUUUGACGGGUAGCCGGCCUGAGAGGGUGACCGGCGGACAUGGGGACGAGGGGAGGGACCGGCCCGGAAGGGGGGGAAACGGGGGGAUAUGUGAAACAGGGGGGGGAGGCGUGAGAAGACCGGCCCGGGAGGGGAAGGACGCCUUGGGGUUUGAAAACCGCUUUCCCCGGUAACAAGGCUGGGGGGACGGAAGGGGGAAAAGAAGCCCCGGCUAACUACGUG
rnacentral:rRNA from 1 species